AAUGACAGAUCAGUGCGCGAG
rnacentral:miRNA from 1 species